GUGUGUGUACAUAUAUAUGUGUGUACAUAUAUAUGUGUGUACAUAUAUAUAUGUACACACAC
rnacentral:miRNA from 1 species